GACGAACGCUGGCGGCGUGCCUAACACAUGCAAGUCGAACGGAAAGGCCCUGCUUUUGUGGGGUGCUCGAGUUGCGAACGGGUGAGUAACACGUGAGUAACCUGCCCUUGACUUUGGGAUAACUUCAGGAAACUGGGGCUAAUACCGGAUAGGAGCUCCUGCUGCAUGGUGGGGGUUGGAAAGUUUCGGCGGUUGGGGAUGGACUCGCGGCUUAUCAGCUUGUUGGUGGGGUAGUGUCUUACCAAGGCUUUGACGGGUAGCCGGCCUGAGAGGGUGACCGGCCACAUUGGGACUGGGAUACGGCCCAGACUACUACGGGAGGCAGCAGUGGAGAAUAUUGCACAAUGGGCGGAAGCCUGAUGCAGCAACGCCGCGUGCGGGAUGACGGCCUUCGGGUUGUAAACCGAUUUCGCCUGUGACGAAGCGUGAGUGACGGUAAUGGGUAAAGAAGCACCGGCUAACUACGUG
rnacentral:rRNA from 1 species